GGUGCUGUGGCGGAGUGGUUAACGCGAUUGACUUGAACUGCCUUGUUCACGAUCAAUUUCCCUAGUGGAGCGCAUGUUCGAACCAUGCCAGCAUCG
rfam:Trichosporon asahii var. asahii CBS 8904 unplaced genomic scaffold scaffold00105, whole genome shotgun sequence.